rnacentral:piRNA from 1 species
UAACUGGCGUCAGGUGCUAAAUGAGCUGUU